rnacentral:rRNA from 1 species
UGCGUAGGCGGAUUAUUAAGUCAGGGGUGAAAGUUUGCGGCUCAACCGUAAAAUUGCCUUUGAUACUGGUAAUCUUGAGUACAUUUGAGGUAGGCGGAAUGUGAUGUGUAGCGGUGAAAUGCUUAGAUAUAUCACAGAACACCGAUUGCGAAGGCAGCUUACUAAACUGUAACUGACGCUGAGGCACGAAAGCGUGGGUAUCGAACA